CUCUCUCUCUCUCUCUCUCUCCAGAAACCAAUGGUUAGGUGGUGUGUGGGGGUGGGCGGGUGGGGUGAUUAGAUGCAGUUAGUAUAUUAAUCAUCGAUCUAUCUUUAGAAGGAGGAGGAUGAGACAGAUAGUGGUUUGUGGGGGAUGUUGGCUGGCUCGAUGCAUUCAUCCUUUUCGAUUAAUUGAAUUUGCAGCAAUUUCUUCGUAUAAGAUGACAACAUCGGACCAGGCUUCAUUCCUCUCAAACCCCCGUUCUUAUGUUUUCCCUUUCAUUCUUUUAACCUUAAUUUAUCCAUCUUCUUCAUCCUUUUAACACAACAUGCAACCUUUUCUUCUUUUGGAUCUGUAUAUACUUUGGCUGUGUAUUUCCUUAUGUUGCGUGUGAGCUUGUGUUAAUUAUUUGGAGAUGUUAUGAUGCACCGUUUGGAACCAAAAAUCAAGAUUUCUUGAUAUGGAAAGGUUUCCUACAAUGCAAGAGGUUUUUGAAGAUUUACAUAUGCUGAACAUCUCUCAGGAUAUCGGAUGAAACACUACAAUUAUAAAAGCCCUCGAGAUGAGUUCGACAUUCAAACUCUAGAAAUGGUAUUUGGAUAAUUUGGAAAAGAGCAGCCUUCACUUCUAUCUCACAUGGAGACACAAGGAACCAUGGUCAAACACUUUUUGCUGUCUUUUAUUAAAAUUGUAAAUAUAUGUUGACUUCUUAAAUGUAUUAAAGUUUUUUGUUGACUCUUA